GAUGAACGCUGGCGGCGUGCCUAAUACAUGCAAGUCGAGCGAACAGAUGAGGAGCUUGCUCCUCUGACGUUAGCGGCGGACGGGUGAGUAACACGUGGAUAACCUACCUAUAAGACUGGGAUAACUUCGGGAAACCGGAGCUAAUACCGGAUAAUAUAUUGAACCGCAUGGUUCAAUAGUGAAAGACGGUUUUGCUGUCACUUAUAGAUGGAUCCGCGCCGCAUUAGCUAGUUGGUAAGGUAACGGCUUACCAAGGCAACGAUGCGUAGCCGACCUGAGAGGGUGGUCGGCCACACGGGAACUGAGACACGGUCCAGACUCCUACGGGAGGCAGCAGUAGGGAAUCUUCCGCAAUGGGCGAAAGCCUGACGGAGCAACGCCGCGUGAGUGAUGAAGGUCUUCGGAUCGGAAAGCUCUGUUAUUAGGGAAGAACAAAUGUGUAAGUAACUAUGCACGUCUUGACGGUACCUAAUCAAAAAGCCACGGCUAACUACGUG
rnacentral:rRNA from 1 species